rnacentral:rRNA from 1 species
GUGGGGAAUAUUGGACAAUGGGCGAAAGCCUGAUCCAGCCAUGCCGCGUGUGUGAAGAAGGUCUUCGGAUUGUAAAGCACUUUAAGUUGGGAGGAAGGGCAGUAAGUUAAUACCUUGCUGUUUUGACGUUACCGACAGAAUAAGCACCGGCUAACUUCGUGCCAGCAGCCGCGGUAAUACGAAGGGUGCAAGCGUUAAUCGGAAUUACUGGGCGUAAAGCGCGCGUAGGUGGUUUUGUAAGUUGGAGGUGAAAUCCCCGGGCUCAACCUGGGAACUGCCUCCAAAACUGCAUUACUAGAGUACGGUAGAGGGUAGUGGAAUGUCCUGUGUAGCGGUGAAAUGCGUAGAUAUAGGAAGGAACACCAGUGGCGAAGGCGACUACCUGGACUGAUACUGACACUGAGGUGCGAAAGCGUGGGGAGCAAACAGGAUUAGAAACCCCGGUAGUCC